rnacentral:rRNA from 1 species
UGGGGAAUAUUGGACAAUGGGCGCAAGCCUGAUCCAGCCAUGCCGCGUGAGUGAUGAAGGCCCUAGGGUUGGAAAGCUCUUUCACCGGAGAAGAUAAUGACGGUAACCGGAGAAGAAGCCCCGGCUAACUUCGUGCCAGCAGCCGCGGUAAUACGAAGGGGGCUAGCGUUGUUCGGAUUUACUGGGCGUAAAGCGCACGUAGGCGGACUAUUAAGUCAGGGGUGAAAUCCCGGGGCUCAACCCCGGAACUGCCUUUGAUACUGGUAGUCUUGAGUUCGAGAGAGGUGGGUGGAAUUCCGAGUGUAAAGGUGAAAUUCGUAGAUAUUCCGGGGAACACCAGUGGCGAAGGCGGCUCACUGGCUCGAUACUGACGCUGAGGUGCGAAAGCGUGGGGAGCCAACCGG